UGCUGCUGAGGUAGGUAGCCUAUUUGAUUGAUUCGCUGAAUUGUCCAAUCAUGUGGUGAUGGCAACAAAGAAAAGCGAUACCAUUGGCCUGGGGCGCACACUGGUGCGACCCGAGGGCGAGUUUUCUUGUGCCAAUGAAAAGCUGUCUCUGCUUGAUAGACAGCAAAAAGUUAGCGAGCUUACAUUGACUUCAACGUGGCCGGCGCCCCUGACUUUGAGGAGGGCUUUAUUUCGAAUGACCAAUAACUAGCCUAGCCCAAAUCAUUGAAGUUCAGACGCAUUUAAAUGGUUGCUGGCAGUGACGGCGCUAGCGCCCUCUAUUGACCCACCGCCACUGAUAACGAUGUAUGCUUUCCCUUUGCAAUUUCAAAAGGUUUCCCAGAUAGGUUAGCUGUAUAGCUAGCUGGUAGGCUAUAUAAAGUAAAGCGAGUGGUAGCCACUUUCACAGGUCAGUUAAAACGAUGCUUGUUGAAAAGCUUUUGCUGGCAAAUAGGCCUAUACUUCAAAAUGACACAACAAAACGAGAUAACUGUUAGUUUAUUUAGCAUUAUCAACUCAAUGGUUUUGGAAACAACUGUCUGUGUCUGACUCUGUAGUGAUCUUACCCUGCGUUCAGAGUGGUAGAUAUAACAGAGUGGCGACACUUCCAUUGGACUCUGUUGUAGCGCCUACUUCCGGGGUAUGGAGCCUCGAAUAGUUCCAAACAACCAUUUUACGGCGUAGGAGAUCAUCCAUUUCCAUUGCUGGCCGUCGAGUAACUUCUGAGACGACCGAUUGCCUGCUGGUUUGUGAGCUCGACUUCGCCAUGUGAAGGUAUCUACACCAACAAUUACGAAGUUCAGUAGUGAAUCUAACUUUUAUUUAGUUAGUUAUUUAUGUUGGAUUACUAGGAUCAUUUAGGUUGAUUUAAGGACGGGUUUUAUGAUGCGAUAGCUAGUAGAAAUAACAGUGUGUUUGUUUAAUUAUAUCCUGGAAAGGGUGAUGUUCAGCACAUGAAGCCCUACAGAUGCCGCCGCUUCAACAAUGCUGAUUAUGAUGGGCGGUGAAUUUAACCUUUGCCUUAUUAGGUCCUCCACAGUCGCCCCAUCAGUCCCUGGCAGUCUGGUCCCUGGAGCAGCUGGCCCUUGAGCAGCUGGCCCUGGAGCAGCUGCCCCUGAAUCACCUGCCCCUGAAUCACCUGCCCCUGGCAAAGUGGCCUCUUGAUUGCUCUCUGUGUCUCCUGUCAUGUCCUUUUCAUCGCUCUUGAAAUCCACCUCAAUUUCUCCCUCAAUCUCUGUAAUAAUUACAAGGUAAUGUUGCUGUUAUAUGUAUUUUGCCUUUGCAUUUGCAACUACUGUCAUCUCCAAUGUAAGCCAAUGUAAGAAAAUUAAUUAAAGCGAAUCAUUUCUGUAAUG